CUCACAUCUGUCAGUCAACACAGCAGAAAGCACAACCACCAUGACUCUCAUCACCAUCCUCAUCUGGACGCUGACCUGCUGCUGUUUUACAGGAUGCAGCGGUCAGGUGACUGUGACUCAACCUCCAGUAGUGACAUUUACUCCUGGAUCCACUGUCACUCUGACCUGUAGGACCAACCCAGCAACAUAUUCCAACUGUGGUUAUAGUCGUCAGUGUAUGUUCUGGUAUCAGCAGAAAUCUGGACAGACACCAAAACUUCUAAUAAAGCAAGUGAGCACAAGUCAUUCAGGAACACCAACUCGAUUUAGUGGCAGUGGAAGCAGUUCUGACUUCUCUAUGACCAUCAGUGGAGUUCAGGCUGAAGAUGCAGCAGUUUACUACUGUCAGAGUGUUCAUAACAUAGACAGUACUUGGUUGUUCACACAGUGA